UGGGGAAUCUUGCACAAUGGGGGCAACCCUGAUGCAGCGACGCCGCGUGAGCGAUGAAGCCCUUCGGGGCGUAAAGCUCUUUCGACCGGAACGAUAAUGACGGUACCGGGAGAAGAAGCUGCGGCUAACUACGUGCCAGCAGCCGCGGUAAUACGUAGGCAGCAAGCGUUGUUCGGAGUUACUGGGCGUAAAGAGUGCGUAGGCAGUUUUCUAAGUUCGGUGUGAAAUCUCCCGGCUUAACUGGGAGGGUGCGCCGAAGACUGGGAAGCUGGAGUGUGGGAAAGGCAGGCAGAAAUCCUGGUGUCGCGGCGAAAUGCGUAGAUAUCAGGAGGAACACCGGCGGUGUAGACGGCUUGCUAGACCAUAACUGACGCUGAGGCACGAAAGCGUGGGUAGCAAACA
rnacentral:rRNA from 1 species